rnacentral:rRNA from 1 species
AUUGAACGCUGGCGGCAGGCCUAACACAUGCAAGUCGAGCGGAUGACGGGAGUUUGCUCCUUGACUCAGCGGCGGACGGGUGAGUAAUGCCUAGGAAUCUGCCUGGUAGUGGGGGACAACGUGUCGAACGGAACGCUAAUACCGCAUACGCCCUACGGGAGAUGGAAGGGGACCUGCGGGCCUUGCCCUAACAGAUGACCCUAGGUCGGAUUAGCUAGUUGGUGGGGUAAUGGCACACCAAGGCGACGAUCCGUAACUGGUCUGAGAGGAUGAUCAGUCACACUGGAACUGAGACACGGUCCAGACUCCUACGGGAGGCAGCAGUGGGGAAUAUUGGACAAUGGGCGAAAGCCUGAUCCAGCCAUGCCGCGUGUGUGAAGAAGGUCUUCGGAUUGUAAAGCACUUUAAGUUGGGAGGAAGGGCAGUAAGUUAAUACCUUGCUGUUUUGACGUUACCGACAGAAUAAGCACCGGCUAACUCUGUGCCAGCAGCCGCCGUAAUAC